CUGCCUCGGCCCUCUAGCUCCCUUGUUUUCUUUCCCUGCUGUUCCCUCUCCCCGUAGCUCUUCCUUUUUCUCUAGGCUGUUUGUAAAAGGAUCACUUUGUUUCCGUUGCCUUUUUCCGCGGUGCUGCAGACACACAUGGAGGAGAGAAUUGGAUUUGAGGAGAUAGUGACGGGGACGCACAGCUGCAACAAUCCCCUCCAUCUCCACUCUCAGACUAAUGCCCCCCCCCCCACGCACACACCCCUCUUCCCGUGUGUUUGACUCUUCCUCCGUCGCACACUCUGUGCUUUCGCCUCUCUGAGGGGUGGGGGUGCCAUGUGGGAGCUCAGAAAAAUGGAAGUGGAUCAGAGAUAGACAAGAAAGGAAUUUGUCAUUCUUGGGCUCUGAUGUCACGAUCUAUCUGGUGCGCCUGUUGAGAUCUGUUCCCCCCAAGCCCCGCCCCCAUCCAAAUGCUAAGCAAAGCAUGCAUUCACUGAAAGGUCGUCCCCAAGAUGUUGGAGAGGUGAACUAAAAAUUGACCCCAGCAGCAAAAGCCCCUGAGCAAGAUGCUUUCAUGAAGGGUUGUGCUGUCAGCUGAAGCAGCGGAGGAUCUCUUAUCACAGCAGGAGGGGGGAGGAGCAGCAGGUGGAGGCGUCAGGAGCCCUGACAAUGUCUGUCUUUCCCUGCACUUGAAGUAAUAGAAGCUCAGUUAAAAUGGCCACUGGACUGGGUCCUGACUGCAGGAACAUCAGCGGUGUGGUGGACAACCGGGUAGCAGUGCAGCCAUGCUGCAGAUAUCAUCCAUCUCCCUGUCACCGGCCCAAGGGCUGCUGGGAAAUUGGCAGACAGCUCCCAGACUCUGACAACAGAGGCGGCAUCCUAAUUUUCUAACCAGCGUUUCCCAUCUUUCCAAAUGUUUCUAUUUCUCAUUCCUGGUACUCCACAUCACAUAAAGUUGGCCUUGAUCAUUAAAAUAGUAUUCAUUAACGUGAGUAACUGUUGGCAACUUGUGUUUCUGCUUGUUGUUUUGAUUUAGUAGUUUCAGUAAAGUAAGGAAAGCUAUCAAAAAUCUUUCCUGACAUGGAGAUGAAGUCAAGUGUUGCGUCACAUUUUCAAGUUGAAUAAACAUAAAUAAUACUUCUCUGUUUUAAAUGAACACUCAUUGGAGUCUAACAGAAUAUAUCAUAAUAGAGAAAUGGUAGAUAUAAAUUAGUAGGUAUGGUAUGUAUAUAAACAUUUUCAGUAGAAAUAGUAAUUUAAUUGUUUUUUACGACAUCUAUUGCAGGUCUGUCCAUCCUGGAAGAGGGAUCCCUUCUCAGUCGCUCUUCCUGAGGUUUCUUGUAUUUUUUUCCCCGUUAUAGGGUUUUCUGGGGGAGUUUUUCCCUAGUUGAUGUGAGGGUCUAAAGACAGAGAGAUGUUGUAUGCAGUA